rnacentral:tRNA from 1 species
GGAGUGUUGGCUCAGUCAGUAGAGCGUCCGCCUCACAACCGGGAGGUCGUGGGUUCGAAUCCUGACCGCGUCA